rnacentral:rRNA from 1 species
AUUGAACGCUGGCGGCAGGCCUAACACAUGCAAGUCGAACGAGUGGCGGACGGGUGAGUAAUGUCUGGGAAACUGCCUGAUGGAGGGGGAUAACUACUGGAAACGGUAGCUAAUACCGCAUACCAUCGGAUGUGCCCAGAUGGGAUGAGCUAGUAGGUGGGGUAACGGCUCACCUAGGCGACGAUCCCUAGCUGGUCUGAGAGGAUGACCAGCCACACUGGAACUGAGACACGUUCCCGCCGCCUACGGGAGGAAGUGGUGGGGACUAUUGGACAAGGGGCGCAAGCCUGAUGCGGCCAUGCCGCGUGUAUGAAGAAGGCCUUCGGGUUGUAAAGGACUUUCAGCGAGGAGGCGUUACUCGCAGAAGAAGCACCGGCUAACUCCGUGCCAGCAGCCGCGGUAAUAC